ACCUUCGUGGUAUAAUGGUCAGCACACUCGGCGCGUAUUCGAGAGGUCCAGGUUCGAGUCCCGGCUAGGGCA
rnacentral:tRNA from 1 species